AUUGAACACUGGCGGAAUGCUUUACACAUGCAAGUCGAACGGCAGCACGGACUUCGGUCUGGUGGCGAGUGGCGAACGGGUGAGUAAUGUAUCGGAACGUGCACAGUCGUGGGGGAUAACGUAGUGAAAAUUACGCUAAUACAGCAUACGAUCUAUGGAUGAAAGCGGGGGAUCGCAAGACCUCGCGCGAUUGGAGUGGCCGAUAUCAGAUUAGGUAGUUGGUGGGGUACAGGCCCACCAAGCCAACGAUCUGUAGCUGGUCUGAGAGGACGACCAGCCAAACUGGAAAUGAGACACGGACCAGACUCCUACGGGAGGCAGCAGUGGGGAAUUUUGGACAAUGGGCGAAGGCCUGAUCCAGCCAGUCCGCGUGCAGGAUGAAGGCCAUCGGGUUGUAAACUGCUUUUGUACAGAACGAAAAGGUUUCUACUAAUACUAGGAGCUCAUGACGGUACUGUAAGAAUAAGCACCGGCUAACUACGUGCCAGCAGCCGCAGUAA
rnacentral:rRNA from 1 species